rnacentral:rRNA from 1 species
GCGGAAUGCUUUACACAUGCAAGUCGAACGGCAGCACGGGAGCUUGCUCCUGGUGGCGAGUGGCGAACGGGUGAGUAAUAUAUCGGAACGUAUCCAAUAAUGGGGGAUAACUAGUCGAAAGAUUAGCUAAUACCGCAUACGCCCUGAGGGGGAAAGCUGGGGAUCUUCGGACCUAGCGUUAAUGGAGCGGCCGAUAUCUGAUUAGCUAGUAGGUGAGGUAAAAGCUCACCUAGGCGACGAUCAGUAGCUGGUCUGAGAGGACGACCAGCCACACUGGAACUGAGACACGGUCCAGACUCCUACGGGAGGCAGCAGUGGGGAAUUUUGGACAAUGGGCGCAAGCCUGAUCCAGCCAUUCCGCGUGAGUGAAGAAGGCCUUCGGGUUGUAAAGCUCUUUCGCAAGGGAAGAAAACUUAACCUCUAACAUAGGUUGAGGCUGACGGUACCUUGAUAAGAACACCGGCUAACUACGUGCCA